rnacentral:snRNA from 1 species
GUGCUAGCUUCAGCAGCACAUAUACUCAAAUUGGAACGAUACGGAGAUUAGGAUGGCCUCCGCUCAAGGAUGACAUGCAAUUUCGUGAAGUGUCUCAGAUUUUU